GCUACGUAAGGGGAACCUUAGUCUAAGGAAGGAUUGUCCUAAUAUUGCUUGAUCUCCUGACGCCCUGUUCUCCAAACCCUGGGCUCAGAUCCUUCUUGGGUUUUAUUGGGGGCAUAGGGUUCAGAGGAAGGGAAUGUGUAUGGGCUGGAGCAAUCAGGGAGGCUUCUUGGAGGGGGAAGACUGAAGCUGGAUCCUGAAGGAGGGUAGGGGAGGAGGAGGGGCAGAGGCACUCCAGGAGGGACGGGCAAGGGCAGAGCUGCCAGGGGAAAGAGGCCUGGGGAACCUGGGGUGGCAGGAAGGUUAAGGAUAUUAGGGUUGGAUCCCUGAAGGGCCUUGCAUGUCACAGUGUCUCCUGUGAGCACUGGGGAGCCAUGGGGGGUUUCAGAACAGGACACUAGUGGGUCCAAGCAGUUUUAGAAGACGGAUACUGCAACACUGUGGAGGGUGGAUCAGAGAGAAGAUGCCAACUUCUGAGGACCCUCAGGGACAUUGUCGUCUUCCCACUCUCCUUUGGUGCUGCUCUCUGCCUUGAUUCAGGAAAGCCUGAGCCAUUCCGGAAAAUUCAUCCAAACUGCUGCCCGAGGUCCGGACCCUUAGCCAACACCUGAGGUUCUUUGCACGCACCUCCGGACAAAGCCUGAGAUUCUCCCGCUGGAUCCCGAAGGCGACAAAGCCCAGACUGUCCUGUGAGCAGCCAGCUCUGACUGGAAUUCAGGUCUCGCCGGGCACGUCAGGAACAGGGCACAUCUGGAAAAGCGUUUGCCGAGGCUGUUGCUCCAGCAGGCCCAGACGGUGACCAGGCCUGAGUGGCCUCAAGCCCCGCCCAGGGCUCAGGAGCCAGG
rnacentral:lncRNA from 1 species